rnacentral:rRNA from 1 species
UACGAAGGGGGCUAGCGUUGCUCGGAAUCACUGGGCGUAAAGGGUGCGUAGGCGGCGCGGUAAGUCGGAUGUGAAUCUCGGAGCUUAACUUCGAAACUGCAUUCGAUACUGCCGUGCUUGAGGACUGGAGAGGAGACUGGAAUUUACGGUGUAGCGGUGAAAUGCGUAGAUAUCGUAAGGAAGACCAGUGGCGAAGGCGGGUCUCUGGACAGUUCCUGACGCUGAGGCACGAAGGUCAGGGGAGCAAACGGG